rfam:Schistosoma mansoni strain Puerto Rico chromosome 1, complete genome
AUCCAGCUGACGAGUCUCAAAUAGGACGAAACGCGCGUCCUCGAU